GCACCUCAAGUAAAGGAUGUGCCCAAAGCUGAUGCAGCUAAAUCCAGCGUGGAAGAGCCUGAUGAGGAUGAAGCUCCAGACUCAGAGGAGGUGGCGGCGGCAGCGGCUGUGAAACCCGCUCCGGUCCCAGUCCAGCGUGCAACCAAAUCCAAUAAUGCAUCAGCACGCAAGCGGAGCAAGCCCGUCUCUGCCUCAAAAAAGAGAUCAAGAAACCUCCGUCCCUGAGACGUGAACUGUGGCGAGAGAAACAGGGCAAAGCUGCAAUGACAAGGCAGUAAUAGAAGAAGGAGAAAAACAAGCGAUAUAAAAGUGUUCAGUGGCAUUUUUUGUUUUUGUUUGAGAAUCUUGAACUAGACUGUAUCUUCUGUGAUGUACUGAUUGGUUUGUGUGUUUGACUGUGUGUUGGUGUGAAUGUGUAUGACCUCUGUUAAAGGUCUGUUAAUGUGAGCUACAUGAUUGUUCUUGCCAAAUAUUCUUCCAGACUUUACCCAGAGGCAAGGCUGACAUGGACACUUUAUAGGAUUGAUUUCAUUUCAGAUCAGACUAGAAGUUAAAUCUGAUAAUAAGCUGAAAAUGUAUAUAGGGUUCAGUUUUUUUUGCCUGAUUAAUUACAGGAUAAAUUUAAAUCUAUAAAUCUCAGACUUGAUAAAACCGGUGCUGGCAGCCUGAUGACAUUGUGCUCAGAUGUGCCAUGAUUUUAGCGACUAGCAAACACAAAAGCCUUCGCUUUCCUCACAAUGUCAGUGUUUCAAUCAAAAGUGUUUCUCUCUUUGUUUUCAGUAACUUUUUUUAUACACAAAGUAUUUAACAUUAUUGAAUUUACAAAUAUUACAAUCAAUAACAUGUUAUUCUGAAACAUUUCUUUCCUUUAAUUGUACCCUUAAAUAAAAC